AAUGAACGUUGGCGGCAUGGAUUAGGCAUGCAAGUCGAGCGAGAAGUGUAGCAAUACACGGAAAGCGGCGGAAGGGAGAGUAAUACGUGGGAAUCUGCCCUUAGACCUGGGAUAGCAGCGGGAAACUGCUGGUAAUACCAGAUAAUGUCUAUGGACCAAAGGUGUGAUUCCGUCUAGGGAUGAGCCCACGUCCUAUCAGCUUGUUGGUAGGGUAAUGGCCUACCAAGGCGAUGAUGGGUAGCGGGUGUGAGAGCAUGACCCGCCUCACUGGGACUGAGACACUGCCCAGACACCUACGGGUGGCUGCAGUCGAGAAUCUUCGGCAAUGGGCGCAAGCCUGACCGAGCGAUGCCGCGUGCGGGAUGAAGGCCUUCGGGUUGUAAACCGCUGUCGAGGGGGAGCAACUUCCAUAGAGUUAUCUUUAUGGAUUGAGUGAUCCCUGGAGGAAGGACGGGCUAAGUUCGUGCCAGCCGCCGCCGUAACAC
rnacentral:rRNA from 1 species